rnacentral:rRNA from 1 species
GAUGAACGCUGGCGGCGUGCCUAAUACAUGCAAGUCGAACGCACAGCGAAAGGUGCUUGCACCUUUCAAGUGAGUGGCGAACGGGUGAGUAACACGUGGACAACCUGCCUCAAGGCUGGGGAUAACAUUUGGAAACAGAUGCUGAUACCGAAUAAAACUCAGUGUCACAUGACACAAAGUUAAAAGGCGCUUUGGCGUCACCUAGAGAUGGAUCCGCGGUG